CGGAGGGAGGAGAAACUAAAACAUCAUGAUAAAAGGUGAUUGAGACCCAGCCAGAGUGAAGCUUUCCUAGGGAGGGAGGCCUGAGGAGGGAAGCGGGGGAAGAAACCCACAACUGCAGACCCGCCCGCUUGCCCACGCGGGUCAAGGGCUAUGCCAUCGGCCCAAGCUGCCUCUGGGGAAGUGGGACCGUGCCACCCCCAUCUUCAAAAACGGUGACCACUGAAUGACUGAGGAUUCCACAAAUGAAGGUCAGCAGUAUCUAUUGAGCUGUUUCUCCCUCUCAUGCGUCUCAUGUGUGUGGUGGAGAAAGGGAAGAAAAGAGGUUCUGAUGUGAAGUUGUCUUCAGGCCUGAGGAAGCUGAAGUCAGCCUGAUGGGAAGGAGGGCAUCCUAUGUGACAUUUCCAUACCUGCGCACCCUUUACAAUGCUGGGGCUGCCAGCUCACCCUGUACCUCAACCCACCCCCAAGAACAGCACGGUCCGGGGUGGUCCAGUCUCAUCCCAUCCGGCCCA
rnacentral:lncRNA from 10 species